rnacentral:rRNA from 1 species
UGCAGAAUCCCGUGAAUCAUCGAGUCUUUGAACGCAAGUUGCGCCCGAGCCUUUUGGCCGAGGGCACGUCUGCCUGGGUGUC